CCCCCGUGCUUGGCUCACACAGUCGCUCCGGGAGGGAGUUCGCAGCUCACGUACGUGCUCGGUUGCUGAAGGCGCCUUCGCCACAUUGUCAUUCAUUUGUGAGAUGUUUCUCUUUCUCUAUGUUGGCAUGGAUGAUAUAUAGAGUACUGGAAGAUUGUUAGUGAAACACAUUCAGCCCAAUGAAGUGUAUCGCCUUUGAGCUCCAUUAUUUAGGCCAGAUCUCAUGAGAGAUGCUGUGUCAAUUGCAUUGGCAUCCAAUAAGGUAAAAGCUCUGAGUUAUAUUAGAAGGCGUACCCAUCCGUCUGAAGACUGCUC